rnacentral:rRNA from 1 species
GGGUUUUAGCAUGCAGUCGACGGGAACCUGAGUGCUUGCACUUGGGGGAGAGUGGCGAACGGGUGAGUAACACGCUAGGUGAUCUAUCUUAAGAUUGGGGAUAGCCCAUGGAAACAUGGGGUAAUACCGGAUGAGCCCUGCUAUCGUAAGAGGUGGCAGGGGAAAGGCCCUUAGGGGUUGUCUUAAGCUGAGCCUGCGGCUCAUUANNUAGUUGGUGGGGUAACGGCCUACCAAGGCGACGAUGAGUAGCCGGCCUGAGAGGGUGACCGGCCACACUGGGACUGAGACACGGCCCAGACUUCUACGGAAGGCAGCAGCUAAGAAUCUUCCGCAAUGGGCGAAAGCCUGACGGAGCGACGCCGCGUGAACGAAGAAGGCCGGAAGGUUGUAAAGUUCUUUUCUCGGGGGAGAAUAACCUUAGGAGGGAAUGCCUGAGGGAUGACAUGAACCGAGGAAUAAGCUACGGCUAAUUACGUGCCAGCAGCCGCGGUAACACGUAAGUGGCAAGCGUUGUUCGGAAUUAUUGGGCGUAAAGGGCGCGUAGGCGGCCAUGCAAGCCUGGUGUGAAAUCUCCCAGCUCAACUGGGAAUGCGCGCUGGGAACUGUGUGGCUAGAGUUUAGGAGGGGGAGCUGGAAUUCCUGGUGUAGGGGUGAAAUCUGUAGAUAUCAGGAAGAACACCGGUGGCGAAGGCGAGCUCCUGGCCAUAGACUGACGCUGAGGCGCGAAAGCGUGGGGAGCGAACAGGAUUANAUACCCUGGUAGUCCACGCUGUAAACGAUGUGCACUAGGUGUAGGUUGGUAUGACAAUCUGUGCCGGA